AUGGGCUCCUCCACCCGGGCAGGAUGCAUAGCCAUGCUGGGCCGCCUGGCCCUCCUGUGGGUCCUCCUGGUUCCCAGCGCCCAGCAGGAGAUCAGGCUGACACAGCGGCCCGUGACGGUGGCAUACACAGGUGGCUCUAUAGCCCUGCCCUGCCAGGCCAGCACAUCGGUCAGCUAUGUCCACUGGUACCGCCAGCUGGAGGGUCAGGGCCCUGAGAGGAUCCUCUAUCUGGACAUGUCCACACGGAGUGUGCAGCGGGAUUCAGUCCUGCAAGCAGAUAAAGUCAACGCAAAUGUGAACAAGGAUGGCAGAAGCUGCUACCUGUCAUUGAUGAAGGUGGGGAAGAGCGAUGAGGGCCUGUACUACUGUGUCACCUGGGACUCGGCACAGCCCCACACACAGCCCAGGUCCCUGCACAAAAAGCACUGGGACCCACUGAUCGCCCAGACCUGGCAACUGCCACCACCUCUGAGUCCUUUGGGUUGCCUUGGGGUCAUCCCUCAGUAUCCUGGCCCUCUGGGACUGCCCCAUUCUGGGUCCUCUGCAGAUAAAAUCAGAUGGGGCUGGAGCUGA